rnacentral:rRNA from 1 species
AGAGUUUGAUCCUGGCUCAGGACGAACGCUGGCGGCGUGCUUAACACAUGCAAGUCGAACGGAAAGGCCCUGCUUUUGUGGGGUGCUCGAGUGGCGAACGGGUGAGUAACACGUGAGUAACCUGCCCUUGACUUUGGGAUAACUUCAGGAAACUGGGGCUAAUACCGGAUAGGAGCUCCUGCUGCAUGGUGGGGGUUGGAAAGUUUCGGCGGUUGGGGAUGGACUCGCGGCUUAUCAGCUUGUUGGUGGGGUAGUGGCUUACCAAGGCUUUGACGGGUAGCCGGCCUGAGAGGGUGACCGGCCACAUUGGGACUGAGAUACGGCCCAGACUCCUACGGGAGGCAGCAGUGGGGAAUAUUGCACAAUGGGCGGAAGCCCGAUGCAGCAACGCCGCGUGCGGGAUGACGGCCUUCGGGUUGUAAACCGCUUUCGCCUGUGACGAAGCGUGAGUGACGGUAAUGGGUAAAGAAGCACCGGCUAACUACGUGCCAGCAGCCGCGGUGAUACGUAGGGUGCGAGCGUUGUCCGGAUUUAUUGGGCGUAAAGGGCUCGUAGGUGGUUGAUCGCGUCGGAAGUGUAAUCUUGGGGCUUAACCCUGAGCGUGCUUUCGAUACGGGUUGACUUGAGGAAGGUAGGGGAGAAUGGAAUUCCUGGUGGAGCGGUGGAAUGCGCAGAUAUCAGGAGGAACACCAGUGGCGAAGGCGGUUCUCUGGGCCUUUCCUGACGCUGAGGAGCGAGAGCGUGGGGAGCGAACAGGCUUAGAUACCCCUGGUAGUCCACGCUGUAAACGGUGGGUACUAGGUGUGGGGUCCAUUCCACGGGUUCCGUGCCGUAGCUAACGCUUUAAGUACCCCGCCUGGGGAGUACGGCCGCAAGGCUAAAACUCAAAGGAAUUGACGG